AUGUCUUUCUGUGUCUCUGUCUCUCUCCAUCUCUCUCUUUUGAUACCUCUUUCUGCAUCUGUCUCUCAAUCGCUCUCCCUCUGGCUCCAUCUCUCUCUCUCUCUUUUCUAUGCCUCUGUUUCUGUAUAUCUGUGUCGUUCUCUCUCUCUCUGCUCUUGCUGUCUCUCUUUCUCUGGACCUCUUUCUCUAUCUCUCUCUCCCUCUGUCCCUCCCUCCCCAUUUCGUCUCUCCUUCUUUCCUCCCUCCCCAUCUCCCUCUCUUCCUGUCUCCCUCCCCCGCCACCUGUCUCUCUCUCCCUCUUACCCUCCCUCACCCAUCUCCCUGUCUCUUUCUCCUUCCUUCUUCCUCUCUCCGUCUCUGUCUGUUUCCCUCCCUCCCUCUUUCCCUCCCCCAUCUGCCCAUCUCUGUCUCCCUCCCUCUCCACCUCUGCCACUCUCUCUCUGCAUCUCCCUUUGUCCCCCCCAUCUCCCUCCCUCCCCAUUUCUGUCUCUCCCUGUGUCGGUCUCCCUCCCCUUUCUGCCUCUAUCUCUCUGUGCAUCUCCUUUCCUCUUUCCCUCCCUCCGCAUCUCUGUCUGUCCCUAUCUCUGCCUCCCUCUCUCGCCACCUCUGUCCCAUCUCUCUGUCCAUCUCCCUCCCUCCCCAUCUCCCUGUCUGUCUCCCUCCCCAUCUCUGUUUCUCCCCCUCUCUCUGUCUCUCUCCCUCCCUCCCCGUCCCCCCCACUCCCCGCUCCUCCCUCCGCCCUCCGUGGCCGGGGGUGGGUUGGGGUGUGGGGUUUUAUGUUCUUUCCCCGUGCGGGCAGGUGCACUUCGACGAGGGGAGGGCGGUGUACGUGAAGCUGGAGCUGGCGGUGGACGGGGGCCCGGCGCUGCGCUGCCUGGAGGAGUUCUCGGCCACGGCGGCGGGGCCGGGCCCGGGGGGCGGGCCGGGGGCCGGGGGGUGGGCCGGGGCCGGAGGCGGCCAGCCGGGGCCCCAGGUCCGCCUCUGCCAGCUGUCCGGCCUCCUCGCCCUGCGGCCCGGGGCCAAGAUCCGAGUCCGCAGCCUCCCGCGGGCCAGGCUCAAGCCCGUGCCCUUCCUCACCUACUUCGGACUCUUCCAAGUUCAAUGACCCCCCUGGCCCCCCGGGGCCCCCUCCUCCUCUCCCUCCCCUCCCGCCCCUGA
rnacentral:lncRNA from 1 species